GUAGGGAAUAUUGGACAAUGGGCGAAAGCCUGAUCCAGCAAUGCCGCGUGAGUGAUGAAGGCCUUAGGGUUGUAAAGCUCUUUUACCAGGGAUGAUAAUGACAGUACCUGGAGAAUAAGCUCCGGCUAACUCCGUGCCAGCAGCCGCGGUAAUACGGAGGGAGCUAGCGUUGUUCGGAAUUACUGGGCGUAAAGCGCGCGUAGGCGGCGAUUUAAGUCAGAGGUGAAAGCCCGGGGCUCAACCCCGGAAUAGCCUUUGAGACUGGAUUGCUAGAAUCCUGGAGAGGUGAGUGGAAUUCCGAGUGUAGAGGUGAAAUUCGUAGAUAUUCGGAAGAACACCAGUGGCGAAGGCGGCUCACUGGACAGGUAUUGACGCUGAGGUGCGAAAGCGUGGGGAGCAAACAGGAUUAGAUACCCGAGUAGUCC
rnacentral:rRNA from 1 species